rnacentral:sRNA from 1 species
AGGUAUCACGCGAACACUGCGCUUGCUGCGUGCCGUCCACGCCUGACUGACGACUGCUCGUAACAGGUUGAUAGCC